GUCCUCCCUCCAGAGAGUAGUAGUAGGUCCUCCCUCCAGACAGUAGCAGUAGAUCGUCCCUUCCUCCAGACAGUAGCAGUAGGUCCUCCCUCCAGACAGUAUCAGAAGGUCCUCCCUCCAGACAGUAGUAGUAGAUCCUCCCUCCAGACAGUAUUUGUAGGUCCUCCCUCCCUCCAAACAGUAUCUGUAGGUCCUCUCUCACUCAAAACAGAUUCUGUAGGUUGUCCCUCCCUCCAGACAGUAUCGGUAGGUCCUCUCUCCCUCCAGACAGUAGCAGUCCGUCCUCCCUCCCUCCCUCCAGAUAAUAGCAGUAGGUCCUCCCUCCUGACAGACAGGAUCAGUAGGUCCUCUCUCCCUCCAGACAGUAGCAGUCCGUCCUCCCUCCAUCCCUCCAGACAGGAUCAUAAGGUCCUCCCUCCCUCCCAUCAGACAGUGGCAGCAGGUCCUCCCUCCCUCCAGACAUUAUCAGUAGGUCCUCCCUCCCUCCAGACAUUAUCAGUAGGUCCUUCCUCCAGACAGUAGCAGUAGGUCCUCCCUCCAGACAUUAUCAGUAGGUCCUCCCUCCAGACAUUAUCAGUAGGUCCUCCCUCCAGACAUUAUCAGUAGGUCCUCCCUCCAGACAGUAGCAGUAGGUCCUCCCUCCAGACAGUAGCAGUAGAUCCUCCCUUCCUCCAGAAAGUAUCAGUAGGACCGAUAUUAGCAGUAGGUCCCCCCUCCCUACUUCCCUCCCUCCCUCGAGACAGUAGCAGUAGGUUCUCCCUCCCUCCAUCUCUCCUGUAGCAGUAGGUUCUCAUGUAAUCUCACACACACACACACACACACACACACACACAAACAGUGUAUUGAUAUGACUGUACAUCCAUGUAGUUAAUGGAAUUAACGUUCAGGAGACAUAGGCAGUGUAUUGACAUGAAGGCCUACCUUGUAAUUAUUGUAUAAAAGACAUGGGCAUGACUGGUGUCCUCUGCAGGUUAUAAAUCAAUAAAUCAUUCCCUCUGCUCAACCCCAGUCUGUUUUGUGCGGAUCUGUUAAACCUAUUAAAGUGAAAGACUGAUAGAGAGUAAGGCUUUCUGUGCUUUAAAAAGGCCUCUCACACGUACUGUACAUAUGAAAGCACAUCGGUCUGUGAGAAAAUAAUAGCAAAUUCUACGUAAGAACAAUUCAGUCAAUGCACAAAUAUAUACAGCUUUGGCUUGAACGAUCACCGCCUGUCUGCUCAAAAGUGAAUGAUAGGGUAAUUAAUACUCACAACAUAUUCAAACAUGAAUUAUACCCAUUCCCUAUUGCCCUUUUUCUGCUAACCAGAUGCAAAGCUCUGCUUGGUUAUAGUAAUCACAAUAACCACAAAAACCUGAGUCAAUACGUAUUAAUGAUAAACAGCCUCCCCCCUGACACUCUGUGUUGCUCUCUGUCUUGGUUAUGGCUGUAGCUCUGUCUCUGUUAUAGCUGUAGCUCUGUUUCUGUUAUAGCUGUAGCUCUGUCUUGGUUAUGACUGUAGCUCUGUCUCUGUUAUAGCUGUAGCUCUGUCUCUGUUAUAGCUGUAGCUCUGUUUCUGUUAUAGCUGUAGCUCUGUUUCUGUUAUAGCUGUAGCUCUGUCUCUGUUAUAGCUGUAGCUCUGUCUCUGUUAUAGCUGUAGCUCUGUUUCUGUUAUAGCUGUAGCUCUGUCUCUGUUGAAGCUGUAGCUCUGUCUUGGUUAUGGCUGUAGCUCUGUCUCUGUUAUAGCUGUAGCUCUGUUUCUGUUAUAGCUGUAGCUCUGUCUUGGUUAAAGCUGUAGCUCUGUCUCUGUUAUAGCUGUAGCUCUGUUUCUGUUAUAGCUGUAGCCCUGUCUCUGUUAUAGCUGUAGCUCUGUCUCUGUUAUAUCUGUAGCUCUGUUUCUGUUAUAGCUGUAGCUCUGUCUUGGUUAUGGCUGUAGCUCUGUCUCUGUUAUAGCUGUAGCUCUGUCUCUGUUAUAGCUGUAGCUCUGUUUCUGUUAUAGCUGUAGCUCUGUCUUGGUUGUGACUGUAGCUCUGUCUCUGUUAUAGCUGUAGCUCUGUUUCUGUUAUAGCUGUAGCUCUGUCUUGGUUAUGACUGUAGCUCUGUCUCUGUUAUAGCUGUAGCUCUGUUUCUGUUAUAGCUGUAGCCCUGUCUCUGUUAUAGCUGUAGCUCUGUCUCUGUUAUAUCUGUAGCUCUGUUUCUGUUAUAGCUGUAGCUCUGUCUUGGUUAUGGCUGUAGCUCUGUCUCUGUUAUAGCUGUAGCUCUGUCUCUGUUAUAGCUGUAGCUCUGUUUCUGUUAUAGCUGUAGCUCUGUCUUGGUUGUGACUGUAGCUCUGUCUCUGUUAUAGCUGUAGCUCUGUUUCUGUUAUAGCUGUAGCUCUGUCUUGGUUAUGACUGUAGCUCUGUCUCUGUUAUAGCUGUAGCUCUGUUUCUGUUAUAGCUGUAGCCCUGUCUCUGUUAUAGCUGUAGCUCUGUCUCUGUUAUAGCUGUAGCUCUGUCUCUGUUAUAGCUGUAGCUCUGUUUCUGUUAUAGCUGUAGCUCUGUCUCUGUUGAAGCUGUAGCUCUGUCUUGGUUAUAGCUGUAGCUCUGUCUCUGUUAUAGCUGUAGCUCUGUUUCUGUUAUAGCUGUAGCUCUGUCUUGGUUAUGGCUGUAGCUCUGUCUCUGUUAUAGCUGUAGCUCUGUUUCUGUUAUAGCUGUAGCUCUGUCUUGGUUGUGACUGUAGCUCUGUCUCUGUUAUAGCUGUAGCUCUGUUUCUGUUAUAGCUGUAGCUCUGUCUUGGUUAUGACUGUAGCUCUGUCUCUGUUAUAGCUGUAGCUCUGUUUCUGUUAUAGCUGUAGCCCUGUCUCUGUUAUAGCUGUAACUCUGUCUCUGUUAUAGCUGUAGCUCUGUUUCUGUUAUAGCUGUAGCUCUGUUUCUGUUAUAGCUGUAGCUCUGUCUCUGUUAUAGCUGUAGCUCUGUUUCUGUUAUAGCUGUAGCCCUGUCUCUGUUAUAGCUGUAGCUCUGUCUCUGUUAUAGCUGUAGCUCUGUCUCUGUUAUAGCUGUAGCUCUGUUUCUGUUAUAGCUGUAGCUCUGUCUCUGUUGAAGCUGUAGCUCUGUCUUGGUUAUAGCUGUAGCUCUGUCUCUGUUAUAGCUGUAGCUCUGUUUCUGUUAUAGCUGUAGCUCUGUCUUGGUUAUGGCUGUAGCUCUGUCUCUGUUAUAGCUGUAGCUCUGUUUCUGUUAUAGCUGUAGCUCUGUCUUGGUUGUGACUGUAGCUCUGUCUCUGUUAUAGCUGUAGCUCUGUUUCUGUUAUAGCUGUAGCUCUGUCUUGGUUAUGACUGUAGCUCUGUCUCUGUUAUAGCUGUAGCUCUGUUUCUGUUAUAGUUGUAGCCCUGUCUCUGUUAUAGCUGUAGCUCUGUCUCUGUUAUAGCUGUAGCUCUGUCUCUGUUAUAGCUGUAGCUCUGUUUCUGUUAUAGCUGUAGCUCUGUCUCUGUUGAAGCUGUAGCUCUGUCUUGGUUAUAGCUGUAGCUCUGUCUCUGUUAUAGCUGUAGCUCUGUUUCUGUUAUAGCUGUAGCUCUGUCUUGGUUAUGGCUGUAGCUCUGUCUCUGUUAUAGCUGUAGCUCUGUUUCUGUUAUAGCUGUAGCUCUGUCUUGGUUAUGACUGUAGCUCUGUCUCUGUUAUAGCUGUAGCUCUGUUUCUGUUAUAGCUGUAGCCCUGUCUCUGUUAUAGCUGUAGCUCUGUCUCUGUUAUAGCUGUAGCUCUGUCUCUGUUAUAGCUGUAGCUCUGUUUCUGUUAUAGCUGUAGCUCUGUCUCUGUUGAAGCUGUAGCUCUGUCUUGGUUAUGGCUGUAGCUCUGUCUCUGUUAUAGCUGUAGCUCUGUUUCUGUUAUAGCUGUAGCUCUGUCUUGGUUAAAGCUGUAGCUCUGUCUCUGUUAUAGCUGUAGCUCUGUUUCUGUUAUAGCUGUAGCCCUGUCUCUGUUAUAGCUGUAGCUCUGUCUCUGUUAUAGCUGUAGCUCUGUCUCUGUUAUAGCUGUAGCUCUGUUUCUGUUAUAGCUGUAGCUCUGUUUCUGUUAUAGCUGUAGCUCUGUUUCUGUUAUAGCUGUAGCUCUGUCUCUGUUAUAUCUGUAGCUCUGUUUCUGUUAUAGCUGUAGCCCUGUCUCUGUUAUAGCUGUAGCUCUGUCUCUGUUAUAGCUGUAGCUCUGUCUCUGUUAUAGCUGUAGCUCUGUUUCUGUUAUAGCUGUAGCUCUGUCUCUGUUGAAGCUGUAGCUCUGUCUUGGUUAUAGCUGUAGCUCUGUCUCUGUUAUAGCUGUAGCUCUGUUUCUGUUAUAGCUGUAGCUCUGUCUUGGUUAUGGCUGUAGCUCUGUCUCUGUUAUAGCUGUAGCUCUGUUUCUGUUAUAGCUGUAGCUCUGUCUCUGUUAUAGCUGUAGCUCUGUUUCUGUUAUAGCUGUAGCCCUGUCUCUGUUAUAGCUGUAGCUCUGUCUCUGUCAUAGCUGUAGCUCUGUCUCUGUUAUAGCCGUAGCUCUGUUUCUGUUAUAGCUGUAGCUCUGUCUCUGUUGAAGCUGUAGCUCUGUUUAGGUUAUAGCUGUAGCUCUGUCUUGGUUAAAGCUGUAGCUCUGUCUCUGUUAUAGCUGUAGCUGUGUUUAGGUUAUAGCUGUAGCUCUGUCUUGGUUAAAGCUGUAGCUCUGUCUCUGUUAUAGCUGUAGCUCUGUCUCUGUUAUAGCUGUAGCUCUGUCUCUGUUAUAGCUGUAGCUCUGUCUCUGUUAAAGCUGUAGCUCUGUCUCUGUUAUAGCUGUAGCUCUGUCUUGGUUAAAGCUGUAGCUCUGUCUCGGUUAAAGCUGUAGCUCUGUCUCUGUUAUAGCUGUAGCUCUGUCUCUGUUAUAGCUGUAGCUCUGUCUCUGUUAAAGCUGUAGCUCUGUCUCUGUUAUAGCUGUAGCUCUGUCUAGGUUAUAGCUGUUGCUCUGUUUAGGUUAUAGCUGUCGUUGUCUCUGAUUGGGGAUCAUAUUUAGGUGUCAUUUGAAAUAAAAAUAAAGAAAAAUGUACGCCUACCACGCUGCACCUUGGUCUCCUUCCAACGACGGUCCACUCCUUAUGACGAACGUAACAGAAGAUCCCACCAGAAACGGACCAAGCAGCGUGGUCAGGAUU
rnacentral:lncRNA from 1 species